rnacentral:rRNA from 1 species
UACGAAGGGGGCUAGCGUUGUUCGGAAUUACUGGGCGUAAAGGGCGCGUAGGCGGUGUGUCAAGUCAGGCGUGAAAGCCCCCGGCUCAACCUGGGAACCGCGCUUGAGACUGGCACGCUCGAGUUCGGGAGAGGAUGGUGGAAUUCCCAGUGUAGAGGUGAAAUUCGUAGAUAUUGGGAAGAACACCGAUGGCGAAGGCAGCCAUCUGGACCGACACUGACGCUGAGGCGCGAAAGCGUGGGGAGCAAACAGG